CGUGCGCACGCGCCGAAUCCCGUACCGCAGUACGGGAACCGGGGAACCACCACCCUGGGGUGAAUCGCGCGAAAACCGCCGUGAACUCACGGCCGGUUUACGCGCGUAGGAGACCUUCCUGCUCCGAACCCGUCAGCUAACCCGGUAGGCGAGAAGGAAGGAAAGG
rfam:Streptomyces curacoi strain DSM 40107 genomic scaffold PRJNA299217_s002, whole genome shotgun sequence.